rnacentral:rRNA from 1 species
UACGAAGGGGGCUAGCGUUGCUCGGAAUCACUGGGCGUAAAGCGCACGUAGGCGGAUUGCUAAGUCAGGGGUGAAAUCCUGGAGCUCAACUCCAGAACUGCCUUUGAUACUGGCGAUCUCGAGUCCGGGAGAGGUGAGUGGAACUGCGAGUGUAGAGGUGAAAUUCGUAGAUAUUCGCAAGAACACCAAGCGGCGAAGGCGGU